rnacentral:rRNA from 1 species
GCAAGUCGAACGCCUGUAGCAAUACAGGAGUGGCGCACGGGUGAGUAACGCGUGGGAACCUGCCCUGGAGUGGGGGAUAACCGAGGGAAACCUCGGCUAAUACCGCAUACGGCCUGAGGGCGAAAGAUUUAUCGCUCUAGGAGGGGCCCGCGUCGGAUUAGCUUGUUGGCGGGGUAACGGCCCACCAAGGCUAUGAUCCGUAGCUGGUCUGAGAGGAUGAUCAGCCACACUGGGACUGAGACACGGCCCAGACUCCUACGGGAGGCAGCAGUGGGGAAUAUUGGACAAUGGGCGCAAGCCUGAUCCAGCAAUGCCGCGUGAGUGAUGAAGGCCUUAGGGUUGUAAAGCUCUUUCGGCGGGGACGAUGAUGACGGUACCCGCAGAAGAAGCCCCGGCUAACUUCGUGCCAGCAGCCGCGGUAAUACGAAGGGGGCGAGCGUUGUUCGGAAUUACUGGGCGUAAAGGGCGCGCAGGCGGCCCUUGAAGUCAGGCGUGAAAGCCCCGGGCUCAACCUGGGAAUUGCGCUUGAUACUCGAGGGCUGGAGUUCGGGAGAGGAGAGUGGAAUUCC